rnacentral:rRNA from 1 species
AACGAACGCUGGCGGCGUGCCUAACACAUGCAAGUCGAACGGAAUUGAGGGGCUUGCUCUUCAAUUUAGUGGCGCACGGGUGAGUAACGCGUAGAUAAUCUGCCUGACGAUCCGGGAUAACACUUCGAAAGAGGUGCUAAUACCGGAUAAGCCCACGGGUUCUUUGGAAUCUGCGGGCAAAGGGGGGGACCUUUUGGCCUUCUGUCGCCAGAUGAGUCUGCGUACCAUUAGCGAGUUGGUAGGGUAAAGGCCUACCAAGGCUACGAUGGUUGGCUGGUAUGCGAGGAUGAUCAGCCAGACUGGAACUGAGACACGGUCCAGACUCCUACGGGAGGCAGCAGUGGGGAAUUUUGCGCAAUGGGUGAAAGCCUGACGCAGCAACGGCGCGUGAGUGAUGAAGGCUUUCGGGUCGUAAAGCUCUGUCAAUGGGAAAGAAGUGUAUUGUGGCUAAUAUCCACGAUACUUGACGGUACCCAUAAAGGAAGCACCGGCUAACUCCGUGCCAGCAGCCGCAGUAACAC